rnacentral:pre_miRNA from 1 species
AGGAGAAGAAGAAGAAGAAGAAGAAGGAAGAGAAGGAGAAGAAGGGCUCUUCUUCGUUCUUCUUCUUCUUCUUCUUCUUCUUCUUCUUCUUCUUCG